GUCUAUGGCCCUGCUACCCUGAACAAGUCCAAUGUCUGAUCUCAGAAACUAAGCAGGGUGGGGCCUAGUUAGUACUUGGAUGGGAGACCACCUAGGAAAACCAGGUGCUAUAGGCA
rnacentral:rRNA from 1 species